rnacentral:tRNA from 1 species
GCGAGGGUGGUGGAAUGGUAGACACGCUAGUCUUAGGAACUAGUGCCGAAAGGCGUGAGAGUUCGAGUCUCUCUUCUCGCACCA